rnacentral:misc_RNA from 1 species
AACUCUCAGAACAAUGUACUCGAUACCAAGAUGAUCAAAAUGAAUACCAGUUUAAGUUCUGCACUUCACUAAAUUCCUUGGUAGUGCCUUGCUACUCCUACUCCAGAUCUGCAACCUGCUAAAAAUGAAACACUCAUCGCUCUACUCGCUUAGAACUCUUGGUUCUAUGGGUAGGUAGUCCAUGGUCAUCACUACUUCAUAAGGAGAAAACUUUAUAAAUCCA